UACGUAGGUGGCAAGCGUUGUCCGGAAUUAUUGGGCGUAAAGCGCGCGCAGGCGGUCCUUUAAGUCUGAUGUGAAAGCCCACGGCUCAACCGUGGAGGGUCAUUGGAAACUGGAGGACUUGAGUACAGAAGAGGAAAGCGGAAUUCCACGUGUAGCGGUGAAAUGCGUAGAGAUGUGGAGGAACACCAGUGGCGAAGGCGGGUUGCUGGGCCGACACUGACGCUGAGGCGCGAAAGCUAGGGGAGCGAACGGG
rnacentral:rRNA from 1 species